GCCUUCGUGGUGUAGGCUUCAGCACGCUGGGCGCGUAUUCAAGAGGUCCGUGGUUCGAGUCCCGGCGAAGGCG
rnacentral:tRNA from 1 species